GACGAACGCUGGCGGCGUGCUUAACACAUGCAAGUCGAACGCUGAAGCUCAGCUUUUGUUGGGUGGAUGAGUGGCGAACGGGUGAGUAACACGUGAGUAACCUGCCCCCUUCUUUGGGAUAACGCCCGGAAACGGGUGCUAAUACUGGAUAUUCACUGGUCUUCGCAUGGGGGUUGGUGGAAAGGGUUUUUCUGGUGGGGGAUGGGCUCGCGGCCUAUCAGCUUGUUGGUGGGGUGAUGGCCUACCAAGGCUUUGACGGGUAGCCGGCCUGAGAGGGUGACCGGUCACAUUGGGACUGAGAUACGGCCCAGACUCCUACGGGAGGCAGCAGUGGGGAAUAUUGCACAAUGGGCGCAAGCCUGAUGCAGCGACGCCGCGUGAGGGGUGGAGGCCUUCGGGUUGUGAACCUCUUUCGCUCAUGGUCAAGCCGCAACAAUGGUUGUGGUGAGGGUAGUGGGUAAAGAAGCGCCGGCUAACUACGUG
rnacentral:rRNA from 1 species